UCGACACACGGCGGUUGGACUCCGGGAGCAGUCGUUCACUCGUGUUUUCCGUGUUCCCGACGUAGUUUUAGCGACGAUCUGAUCGCCGUCGUCGUAGUAAACGUCGUCGGGAUAAACCGAGAGAUAACGUCGCAUGUUCGCGAGCUCGUUCGUGGCGCAGCCGAGCAAGGGUGCCUCGCGGAAGAACGCGUCGGCAGUACGCGGUGUGCAGUGUGCAGCAAGUGGCAAGUGUCGUUUACGCGUCGCGGCGACUCGGAGCUUCGGAGCUCGAAUUCGCCGCGAUUUCACGCUCUCGCGAGACCUCUCUCGAAAACGAGCAUCGCGAUCUAAUCGCCAAGCGAAGCGUCGCGACGCAUUCGGCGGACCGUGCGUUGGAUCGCCAGUCCCGCUGGUGCUGAGGCGUCGGUCGGCCAGACUUCGCGACUUUACGGUGAAAAUGGCGGGCUGCCUUUCAAACCGACGCGCGACCAGUCGGGAUUGAGAUCUGUCGGACGAAGUGUGCCGUGUGCAUUCGCCGUUUGUUGAACGUCGUCGUGAUGAUCGGCGUGUCUCGUAUGGCUCGAUUGCCCCGGUAGGUAAUUAUGCCCGCGAUAUUUCCGAUCGGACGGCGGUACAUAAACUCCGUCGUAGACUCGAACGAUCGGAUGUGCUCCGCGUUUCUUCGGGAGUCGGAAACACAGUGUGUUUUUGCGCGCGAAAAUCGCCCUGUGACUCAUAACAAAAUAACAUAAUGGGAUAGCAGCAAGACACGUAUAGUGGACAUUUAUUGUGGUGUGUUGUGCACGAGCGGAUACUCCAACGAUUCGCCAACGACGGAGCAAGUGAUGGAGAUCGAGAAUUGUGGCGACGCUAGUGGUCAGCAUCGAUGCGGGACCGUCAACGGGGAAUGAUCUCGUCACGCGGGUCCGAAGUGCAGGAGCGAUGGUGCCCCGCCUUGAUCCCAUUGCAAGUUCGCCGUCCCACGUGCCCGUUAGUAUAGCCCGGCUAUAAAAGCUCACUUAGCAUUAGCUUGCACUGCAAUGUUCCUCCGUGAUGGCUGGUGGAAAGUCGCUGCACCGAAUCGCAGCAUCCUCCGUCGUCACCGAAGCAGACGCGCUACGCGAUGGUCAACCAGCGGCACGGCACUAAUGAGAACAGAAGAGAAUUCGAUGAGAUCGAAGGGCGGAGAAGCAGCGAUGGUUCCGCGCAGCUUCCGGUCCAGAAUUUUUCGAUAAAAAGACUUCCGCAACCGUUCGACGCUUGAAACAUUUAUAAUUUAGGCAUUCGAAAUGAAGUGCGUUGCUCGCGGAUCUGAAUCCGAAACUGUUAUGACUGUCGAGGGAUCUAUCGGCCUUGCGCGGUCUGCAACAACUCUCUACACAGUUCGGCCCAUUAACGAUCUUUCACACACGCCCUAUUCGCCUCAUUAUUAUCGGCCACACCUCACGCCAUUUUCGCAUAGUCGUUAACGCGCAGAGAGAGAGAGAGAGAGAGAGAGAGAGAGAGGUGGAUAAAGAAAGAGAAAAUGAAUAUAUCAAGAGAAAACAAUCUGGCUUUCUUGCUUUAUGUUCUCUCUAGAUCGAUCUCUGCAGGAAUGCCACCGGCUAUCCGGUAGCUGACGGCGAUCGGUCUCGGUCGUAACUCUGACCCGCGACAAGACUCGUGAUUUAUGGCGGCAACAAAAGACGAAUUCACACGUGAGACCUGUCGUUUUCAAACCCUUAUAAGCGUGUCUCGUAGAAAGCAUGAAUACAAUGAUGUUUUAUAAGGAUUGCUAGACGUAUAAUCGAUACGUAUGACGGUCCCCAUUCAACUAUGCGCAAAUUACACGAGCUAGUUUACUUACCUUCCUUGAUAGCUUCCAACUCGGUAUAUUAUAAUUUUGGCUGUUUGACAGUAUCGUAAUUACAACAAUAGUUGUAAAUCUAAAUAUGUUUAUAUUUAGUAUUCGAUAAAAUUCGAUAUAUUCAAGGAUUUUUUAAAGAAAUUGAUUUUGCAAAAUUUAGAGGCCUCCCUUUGAAACAAAUAUAUCACAAGAGCACAAUAUAUUUGAAAAAAUAUUUGAUUCCUUUUCAUGAAAAUUUAAAGAAAUUUAAACUUUGCUUAUCGAAUGUAAAAUGUAUUAUAUAAUAUUUAAUUUGUUAUAAAAAGCAAAGUACUACUAUAAAGAGCUAUGUACGAUGAGAAGAAAAUUAGUAAUUUUUCCGAAACUUAUCUACCUCAUUAAUUUAGUUCAAAUUUAUUACAAUUAAAUAUCUAUUUUAUAUCUGGUUUAAGCAAAAUAAUUUAGUUAUAUUUUCUUUUAGCUAAUUAAUAGAUUAAACAUAGAUUUUAUAUAGAAUGUAAUCAAUGCUUUUAAGUUGUAAUGUACUUAAAAAAAUAAACACGUAAAAUUAAUAAAAGAAUAUCCGAUUAAUUAUAAAAUAAAAUGUAAACUUUUUUAAAUCAAUAAAAUAAUUCAGAACAAGUA